AAGUUCCGGGUGCUCUCCGACCAACGCAGGAGGGCCCACAGAAGCCGGGUCACCCGGGCUUGCAAGCCCGCCUGUCAGUCUCUCCCAGGAAGGACAGAUCAAGCCAGCUCGCAUCACGUGAAGCUCCCAUUUCCGGAACCAAAGACGCGCACUGCACGUGAGCCGCCGAGUGAAGGGUCCCGCACGCCCACCCUGCCGUGUCCCUCCGAUCGUUCAGGAAGACGUUCCCGGGGUCCGCGGUCCCCGCCCGUCGCGUCACCCCGCACCCUGCGUCCCCGAUGGUCGAGCCGCUGCGGCUCUGGUUAGCUCCUAGCCCGCAGUCUCCGCCCCCUGAGCCCAGCACAGGAAGCCGAAUGGCGGGGACAGGGCUCGGCGCCUCACUCACGUCCUCCAGCCGGCCGGCCGCCGCCAUGACCCGCCGUCGCGGGCCGAUGCCCCGCCAGCCUGACCUCUCCACCAGCGCCCGGGCGCCGACGGCCCGGGACAGUCGCACCUACUAGGACCUGCGCGCCCCGCCUCGGACACACCCACUCUGCGCUCGCCCCGCCCCGGCCGCCGAAGGCCACGCCCCUCCACCUAGAUCAGCCGAUCAGCAGCCAGGGGCGUGGCCCCCCCUGCAGACUCCAGCUUUGAGCUGCAGUGUAGCCCAGGCGGUUGUUUUGGGGUUUCCCCUAAACUGUUGCUUCAUCCAUUUAUCAGAGAUUUGGAAAUUAAAGGAUGAAUUUCUCGAGCAACCAUUUAAACCAAGUAAACUACUUCUCUUUAGAAUAUUAACUUAUUUCUGUUGGCGCAAUUUUUGUUUGCAACAAUAUAGAUAGCUCUGUUUGGAAAAAGACGCAGUAAAAAUCGCAAUUCCACCUGUAGAGGGACUUAAUUAGAAUAGAUUCCAAUUUCUAUAACACGAUUUACAGAUGUCUCCACAGGAAAUUUCUGUAGUUUUUUUUUUUUUUUAAGGUAUUCUGUUUCUGUUUUCCCCUUCCCCAUCUCUUCUUUUUCUGUCCUUUGAUUAUUUUUGGUUUCAGUUUUGUUUUUAUGAGACAGGGUUUCUCUACAUAGCGCUACGUGUUCCGGAACUCACUAUGUAGACCAGACUGAACCCUCGGAGAUUCGCCUGUCUUUGUUGCCUAGUGGAAUGCUCGGAUGAGCCGCCACACUUGACCCAAGAUUAAGUCAGUUCUUCCACUAUGUGAAUCCUGGACUUGACAGCAAAAGCCAUUCAUUGCCCAGUCCUCAUUUUUGUAAAAAUUAAAACAAAGUCUCAAGUAGCUCACACUGACCUAGAAAUUGAUGUGCACUGAAACGGGCCUUCAGUUCCUGAUCCACUUGCCUUCACACAGUGAAAUCUGGCAUCGCUAGUGUGCAUCAUCGCAACGGAUGAGUUGUUUUGUUUUAUAUACAAAGUAUUUUUAAAAUGCUUUUAUUUUAUGCAUUUCAGUGUUUUAUUUGCAUGUGUGGCUAUGCACUGUGUGUGUGCCUAUUGCCCAGGGAGGCCAGAUGAGACACUGGAGUUAGACAGUGGUUCUGGGAAUCAAACCCAGGUUUUUUUUGGAAGAGUGGUUAGUGCAUUUAAGCACUGAGCCAUCUCUGCAGGCCAAGUUUUAAACACACACACACACACACACACACACACACACACACACACACAGAAUCCAACUGGGGAAGUGGGUGUGGUGGCACACACCUGUAGUCCCAGGUCUUAGAGGAGACAAGAGAAUCGUGAUAUCAAAGCCAGGCUUUGCUUUAUAGUGCGUUAGAGGCAAGCCUGGGUUACACGAGAUAUCUCAUGAAGAAUGAAGAGAGAUUUGAGGAAGAGUCCUCAAGGUCUGUGGUUGAAGAGGAAUUGGAAGGCAAAGAUGUCAUCAACGCCGAGCAGACUGGGCCCCAAGGACAGUGACUAGACUUGUCCAUUGGAAAGAAUGCCUGUCCUCGUGUCCUGGAACAGCUAGCUGAAUCAUGUUGGCUCCUUCCUCUCUACAACCAGCUUCUCCACAGACCCUGGGAAGGAACAGCCCUGAAAUCCUCAAAGGACAUUUCCUUAUGUACUGCACACUUUUAACUGGCCUUUACUCUUUUAAAUGAGCAUUUACUGGCGUCUGUUAAUUAUAUGUAAUAACAGGUUUCAUUAUGGC
rnacentral:lncRNA from 1 species